rnacentral:rRNA from 1 species
UACGUAGGGUGCAAGCGUUGUCCGGAUUUAUUGGGUUUAAAGGGUGCGUAGGCGGCUUUGUAAGUCAGUGGUGAAAUACUCUAGCUUAACUAGAGGGGUGCCAUUGAUACUGCGGAGCUUGAGUACAGAUGAGGUAGGCGGAAUUGACGGUGUAGCGGUGAAAUGCAUAGAUAUCGUCAAGAACACCGAUAGCGAAGGCAGCUUACUGGGCUGUAACUGACGCUGAUGCACGAAAAGUGUGGGGAUCAAACAGG